CAUCUUCUCAACAACAAAAUUCGAAAGUUGACUACUAUUUUGAGGCUGUAUAUCAGGAUUAAAAAUUCAGAAAGUUUAUACUUACGUUAACUAACAAGUUUAUAAAAUUAGAAAACUUGUGCCAGAGGGACAAAAGUGACAAAACACGUGAGUCGAGCAGAAGGCACUCGUGAAUCAAAGGCUGUUCAACCCUGAUUUCCUGAAGCUGAGAGUGAACUGUGGGUAGAAUGUAGAAAAUCUAAUUGCACCAACUGUUAUCAAGGAGAUUAUACGAACCAGGGAAACCCCAUACCAAAAAGUUGAGUGAGAGACGUGCUGCAACGUUCAGUUCGACAUCAUAGUUUAUUUCCCAGCGGGCCCGCAAGCCGAUUAAGAUCAACUAAACGUCCGUUAUGGGCUACACAAAAUAAGGAUAACACUAACAAUAAGGAAACCAAGUGCUCACUUCGUUGAGGAACCGGUUGAACUUGUCCUUGCUGCAAGAUGGCAUCUGCAUAACGCUGCGGUGGGGUUCCGUCAGCUCAACUAUCAAGAAAAGAAGAAUCCGCAUUUGAUCGAACGAUUCGGCGUGAAAUCGGCGAAAUUGAAAUGGAAAUUGGAAACAGCCAACUAGCCAAUUUAAGAAAGCUUUGGGGAAAUGUGAGAGAAUCGGGAAUACGACUCAUUUAUAAAACUGACGUAUAAUUUUGAGCCCAAAACUGGAGAGAAUUUUUCACUAGCGCUAAUAAUAAUGCUUAAUUGAAGGAAGUCUUGAAACCGACCCCUACUUACUGCGCAUAUGUAUGUAGGAUUGUAGGCCAUUUCGUGCCAUUUCGUGCCUUCACAUUGUAACGUCACGUCACUCGAUAACAUUUUGGGACUAGUUCAAUUAGACUAGAGAAUCUGUGCAUCUUCUCAUCUCAAUCAAACUUGUAUGAUUGAACCGGUAUGAACGCUAUGGCUAUGCUGUUGGCUAUGCUGACAGCAACUAUGAAUCUAUGAGGAAAAUUGAAAAUGCAUUAAUCAUCAAAAUCUGUUUGCCAA